rnacentral:sRNA from 1 species
AAAAAGUAAAACAUGUUUAAUUUUAUUUGACUUUCGCAUUGCUUUUCAACAAGCAAAUGUUAAAUGUGUUAAGACUUGUACUAGUGUUGUAACUUUCCAAGUAAAAGUAUCCCCUAAAGGCCACUUCCUAUCUGAUUUUUCCCAGCAAAAUGAGGCAGGCAAUUCUAAGAUCUUCCACAAAACAUCUAGCCAUCUAAAAUGGAGAGAUGAAUCAUUCUACCUAUACAAACAAGCUAGCUAUUAGAGGGUGGUUGGGGUAUGCUACUCAUAAGAUUUCAGGGUGUCUUCCAACUGAAAUCUCAAUGUUCUCAGUAUGAAAAACCUGAAAUCACAUGCCUAUGUAAGGAAAGUGCUAUUCACCCAGUAAACCCAAAAAAGCAAAUGGAUAAUGCUGGCCAUUUUGCCUUUCUGACGUUUCCUUGGGAAUCUGCAAGAACCUCCCCUUUCCCUUCCCCCAAUAAGACCAUUUAAGUGUGUGUUAAACAACUACAGAAUACUAAAUAAAAAGUUUGGCCAAAACCAACCAUGAAGCUGCAAAGGUGCUUGCUCUUACUGUUUCAAAUUUUUGCAACUCUGUAGUGUCUCACUUUUAAAGGAACAGCUUGAUUGCAAAGGAGAAAAUAGAUAAGCAAUGAAGUUAUCUCCAACUUCCUAAAGGCUUAUGACUUCUAAAAAGUGAAUCUAUCAGCAUUCCACAUCAGAUUUAAAGCAUCAAAUGCCUGUGAAACAGCAAAGAUGGUUGGUGAUUUUGCUCAUUAUGGUCAUGGAGUGCUGAUUGAUUCACAGUAGAUAAAGCUGGCAGUAAGAAAUGUUAAGAGUUGUUGAAGCAGAAGGCGGCUGAUUGUCAAUAAGUCACUACAGUUGCAUAAGCAGUGCUGUCAGAAUUGGUUUGGUGCAGGCAAUAGAUUUUGCCUUCAGGGGUUCCUGUGGAUCUGAGGAAGGCAUCAGUGUUGAUUAACACUCAUAACUAGGGAGUGACUGGUAGUUACUUAAAGCAAGUAAUUGACCAAAUGGAAAAGGGGAAGUAAUUAAGGAAAUUGGUAAGUGGAGGUAGUCAGGAAGUUCUUGUGGUUCUUUACAUAGAUUUUACAGCUUUGGCUUUCAUUUUGUUUAGCUAAAGUCAUGGGGACAACUCUUCAAUUUAGAACUUAAGUUGAAUUAUAAAAAUGAUGGAUAUAAGUGGUAGCUGUAUCUAGUGAAGUGUCUGUCAGUAAGUGAAACAUUUUUUGGUGGUGGCUUAUCCACAAACAGUUUAGUUGUAGAAUAAAACUUAUGAGUGACAUCUGGAAAGUAACCAUGCUAAGAUGGCAAGCACACUGGAAACAAUUAGGCCACUUGGCUUUCUUUUGCUGUAUUGUUUUAUAAGCCUACUUUACCUCCCAGUCUUGGAAACAAGUUUUAGUUUUUUAUUGGUUUGGAGACUAGAGCCAAUAGUAUAAUGUUCUCAAAGGAAACAGACUUGAGUUGUUGGAUUAGAGGAACUAACCCAACUUCUAUGAUUUUUUUGUUUGUUUGUUUUUGUCGUGUAGUUAUGGCACUGUCUUAUUUGGAACAUUUGCAACUAGGGAUAAUACAACAUUUUUAACUCUCAUUUGACAACCUACUGCUAAUCACAGACCACAAGGGUAAUGACCAAAUUUAUGUGGUUUUUGCACUCCAUAGUUGUCUUAGCCCAAUCUUUCUAUACUCUUACGAUUACUUGGGUUAACGCUUCUGUGAGGACCUUCUGGCUCUUGAGAUACCCUAAAUAUUUAAGAUAUUUAGAUAUCUUGAAGAUAGUAUAGGAUAUAGAGAUUGUACCAAAUAGGAAUAUAAGGAGUAUGUUAAAAUGACCAGAUACCUGUUUGAUAGUUUACUGACCUAGCAGAUGUGUGGAAAAGGAAUCAGAUCUUGAUUCUUCUGGGUUUAUACUGGUUGUAAAACAGAAUGAUACAGAAAAUGUUUUCCUUGUUUAACUGGUAGUUGAACAUAGAACUUGGGUAUUAUAGAUCACUUUUCACUUUUUGGAAUGUUUUGUAUUGAAACUUAAUAAAACUUUAACAUGGCA